rnacentral:rRNA from 1 species
CUUUGAUCCGUAGGUACCCGAAUAAGGCAACUUUUUAUACUGUCUACACAAUAAAUAAGUAGAUAAGAGCAAACUUAGCGAACUGAAACAUCUUAGUAGCUAAAGGAAAAGAAAGCAAAAGCGAUUUUCUGAGUAGCGGUGAGCGAAACGGAAACAGUCUAAACCACUUUAAUAAAUUUUAGUGGGGUCGUGGGACAAUUAUAAAUGUUUAAUUUUAUGUUAGAUGAAGUAAUUGGAAAAUUACACUGUAAAAGGUGAUAGUCCUGUAAUCGAAAACUUACUAUUAAUCAUAUUGUAUCCCAAGUAGCAUGGGACACGUGAAACCCCGUGUGAAUCUGCGAGGACCACCUCGUAAGACUAAAUAUUACUAAAUGACCGAUAGUGAACUAGUACCGUGAGGGAAAGGUGAAAAGAACCCCGGGAGGGGAGUGAAAUAGAACAUGAAACUGUGAGCUUACAAGCAGCAGUAGGACGACUUAAACGUCUAUCUGCGUGCAUGUUGAAGAAUGAGCCGGCGACUUAUAAGCAAUGGCAGGUUAAAAUAGUUACUAUUGGAGCCAUAGUGAAAGCGAGCUUUAAAUGAGCAUUCGUCAUUGUUUAUAGACCCGAACCCGAAUGAUCUAACCAUGACCAGGGUGAAACUUAGGUAAUACUAAGUGGAGGUCCGAACCGACUGAUGUUGAAAAAUCAGCGGACGAGUUGUGGUUAGGGGUGAAAUGCCAAUCGAAUUCGGAGCUAGCUGGUUCUCCCCGAAAUGCGUUUUGGCGCAGCGAUUGAUACUUUAACUUAGGGGUAAAGCACUGUUUCGGUGCGGGCUGCGAAAGCGGUACCAAAUCAAGGCAAACUCUGAAUACUAAGCGUGCAAUCAAUCAGUGAGACAGUGGGGGAUAAGCUUCAUUGUCAAAAGGGAAACAGCCCAGAUCACCAUCUAAGGCCCCAAAAUAAUUGCUAAGUGGCAAAGGAAGUAAGAAUGCAUAAACAACCAGGAGGUUUGCUUAGAAGCAGCAAUCCUUUAAAGAGUGCGUAAUAGCUCACUGGUUUAGUGGUCUUGCGCCGAAAAUAAAUGGGACUAAGCAAUUUGCCGAAGAUGUGAGAUGUGUUUACAUCGGUAGGGGAGCGUUCUGUUAUAGUAAGAAGCAUUAACGUAAGUGAAUGUGGACAAAACAGAAGUGAGAAUGUCGGCUUGAGUAGCGAAAACAUUGGUGAGAAUCCAAUGCCCCGAAAACCUAAGGUUUCCUUUGGAAGGCUCGUCCGCGAAGGGUAAGUCAGGGCCUAAGGCGAGGUUGAAAAACGUAGUCGAUGGAUAACAGGUUAAUAUUCCUGUACUGUUUAUUAUUUGUAUCAAGUGACGAAGCAGGCUAAAUCAUCCGGAUGUUGGUUACCGGUUUAAACUGUUGAGGUUAAGAUAAAUGGAGAAAACAUUUUGAGCUGAAACGUGAAUACAAAAUACCAAGGUAUUAAAGUGAUUGAUGUCAUACUUCCAAGAAAAACUUGUAAUACUUUAAAUAAUAAACACCUGUACCUGAAACC